UUUGGAGUUUUAACGAAAAGCUCACGGUACUGUUCACUUUAACGAAAAACCACAUUUUUACACUAAAAAGUCAAACCUGGUACUAUUCAUUUUACCCUUUAUGUUGUCAUUAUAAUUAAAACUCAAAGUUUUCAAACCAUUUUCAUUAGUUUUUUUUUUUUUUUCUACUAGAAGUGAAAUCAUUACCAUAGCCUACCACUGCAACCACCAGCCAAACACUACCACCAACAUCGUUGUUGCCGCUGCCACUACUACUACCAUUGCUGCCAUUGUUGCCACCACUGCUGCUUGGACAGUGCCACCACUGCCACCACUGUUGCCACUACCGCCACAAUCCACAAAUGCCACCAUUGCCACUACAACCACUGAUGGGUUGGGAAUGCAAACUAAAAGCUGAAAAUCAAAGACAAAAAAUUAAAAACUAAAAACUGAAAUGUAUUUCAAACGGGCCUAAGGUGGUGUUAAAAUUUCAAUAAGUGAAGGAUUCCAGCCCUUCAAAUAUGACAACCUAAAUUGUACUUGUAAUAUUGCUUUUGAGUUACAUGAAUCGUAUUUCCACAUCUUAUUAUUGACUUUAUUCCCCUUUAGUAUUAUGAUUUGCCUUUUCAGUAGCAAUAGUCCGUCAAAACUCUUGUAAUUAUUCUUUGAAUUCAAUCAAUGUGAUCCAAAUCAAUGUCAUCCUUGGAGAUAACCCCGUCCAAUUUUCUCUCAUGUAUUGUUAGGUCGGUCAAACAAGUUCAAUUUAAAAAUAAAAAGUAGGUCCAUAAAAUAUAAGAAAAAUAAGACAGGUGAGAUGCACCCAUCAUAUGUAUGUGCAAUUGUGCAUGAAUGGAUGUUAUUAGGUACCAAUCAUUUGUUGGGUGUCGGGGAGAGGGAGUGAUACGGUCCAAUCCUCCCCAUAAAUACCAAGACUUAGACAAGAUAGCGACGCAGUUUGCGAAUUUAACAAAAAGACAUGAGAACCAAAAUAAUGCAUAGAGAGGAUUUGGAAUUUGAUUGGUUUUUCAGUUCUUCCACUAUUAUUAAUUAUUAUGCAUGCAGCCCAUCCCUUUUCAAAGUCUUUGUUUCUUUCAUAAAUGCAAAUUUCAUUUGAUUUGUGUUGGUUCGUUCAACUAUGGGACCAUACUGUUAUUCGUACUUUAAAAAUAUCAAUUUAUAUUUUACAUAAGUAUAUUUUUCUUUCUAAUUAUAUAAAGUUUAAAGUGCCAAAUAAGAUUUUUGAAGAGCUAAUAACAAUUUCCGUAAUUGAAUUACUGAUGGACAUCAAUUUAUAUAACAUAGGUACACUGAUACGAUAUCAUUCUAUGUUAAUGAAUUAAAAAUAUGUUUAUGUCUUUGUUCACAUAUAAUUUUGUUGACACGAAACUUCACAUAGCUGUAUAACCGUACAAUGUAUGUUGUUCUCUUACCCGUACACAACGACGGAACACAAACAUAGACGCUAUUAUUGUUCUUUUUUACUUAAUGUCUUUAUUUGGGAAGGAAUUUCAUCCCUUCACUUGUCACCUUUUGUACUUCUUUAGUCCUCUUAUAUUUUGAUUUAUUCAAAUUCAAUAACUAAACAAAAUAAAGGAAUUGUAUAAGGUGAAAAGAGUAGUGUAUAAAUCAUUUCGCCUUUUUUUUUCUUUUUCAUAAUAGGUAGUAUAAAUUAUAAAACAAUAAUUGAUCAGUCGUUGAUAAGGAUAUUCACUAACUACACUAUCACCUCAUUAACAACUGCUUAAUAGCUGUUAAAAAUAUCUACCUCUACUUUAAACUUGUAUGUACUGUUGAAAUCCCUUAGUGUAAUUAUUAGAUAAUUAGUUAGUCAGCUCUGUCUAUAUCUAACGUUAACUAGUUAUUUAUUUAAUACAACGUUAAUAGCUCUUCUGAGCGGACACUAUUAUAUUUUAUACAAUCUGAAUUGUUCAUUCGUAAGUUCAUCACUCAUAAAUCAUCCUCAUCAAACUGGAAAGUUGUUGAGUUAUUUACUAUGACUUGAUAUAUAAACGAACUAUAGCUUUGUCAAACCAAAAUAAAAACAGUCUCUACCGCCCGUGGGUCUGGCAUCUUGAAUUCCCAGCCCGUGUAUUAUUCUCAUCUGGUUGAAUAAUUUGAAUAAUAAUUAAGGUGGUCUGAAUAUCCACAUCCUAUCUAGUUGAUGAUAUUUAGAAGUUAUCACUAAUAAAUAACUUGUAUUAGACGAUGCCAAGUUGACCUAAUUAUAUACCCAGAAAAAAUGUAGAUGCAGUCCAUCUAUCUUGUACUAUUAUUUGAUUUUCCGCGUGUAUCGACAAACAUUAUUUAAUUAAAUCGGUCAGGGUGAUUAAUCGGGACAGGGCAAUUAGCCUACUCCAUACAAUACGGGGUCGGUCUGUGAGUUAUUGACCAACUGUAUAUUCCCAAGGGGUCGAUUUCAUACAGCUGCAGUUUAUUUAGGAUUUAAUUAUUUCCUUCCUCAGAAAAAUGAAAACAAUUAUGCCAAUAUUGCAAAGUUCGUUGGAGAAUGUAAAGUCCCAUAUUAGGGAUAUGACAAAAUAAUAUGUAAUUAAUAUGUGAAAGACUCACAAAUAACGUCUUCAUGGCCUUUUGUGUUGAACCACGCAUCUAGCGAUAAGUUAUUAAAUAAGGA
rnacentral:lncRNA from 1 species